UUUUGGUUGCAUGAUCGGGCAAGGAAAUAUUUAUAGCUGUAAGAUAGGCAUGCGUCCCAUUAGCUGGUUGGUGAGGUAACGGCUCACCAAGGCAACGAUGGGUAGGGGAACUGAGAGGUUUAUCCCCCACACUGGUACUGAGACACGGACCAGACUCCUACGGGAGGCAGCAGUGAGGAAUAUUGGUCAAUGGGCGAGAGCCUGAACCAGCCAAGUCGCGUGAAGGAAGACUGUCCUAAGGAUUGUAAACUUCUUUUAUACGGGAAUAACGGGCGAUACGUGUAUUGCUGUGAAUGUACCGUAAGAAUAA
rnacentral:rRNA from 1 species